rnacentral:rRNA from 1 species
AAUACGUUCCCGGGCCUUGUACACACCGCCCGUCAAGCCAUGGAAGCUGGGGGUGCCUGAAGUCGGUGACCGCAAGGAGCUGCCUAGGGUAAAACCGGUAACUGGGGCU